rnacentral:lncRNA from 1 species
AGAAGGAAGAAGGAAGAAAGAAGAAAGAAGAAGUGAAGAUGAAGAACAUACCUAGGAUGUCGAGUCCAGAGAGAGGCUGGAAGAAGAAGAUGAUUUGCAGCAAAACCCUAAAUUGUCGACUGCUUGUGUUUUUGUAAAGCUGAUGUGUUUUAAUUACUGUAUUUUCAAAAUAGCGUCGCUACACAGCGCCUCGCGCCUCGCCUCGCCUCGCGCCACAGCAGUUGUUGUCCUCGCCAUUCUGCAUCGCAUCGCCACACUGCCCUUUGUGGCGUUAGGGAUUCGCUACGCCUCGCUACACGCUUUUAGCGCUGUAGCGAGCGCUUUUAAUAACACUGGACCCAAGAUAUCUGACACUUUCCCUCUUGGCGAUGACCUGAGAUCCAAUCAUCACGUCCCUGCCUACUUCGCUCGCCUCGGCGCUAAUCUUGCACUCCAGGUAUUCUGUCUUAGAUCUGCUUAUU